rnacentral:lncRNA from 1 species
UGCAAGGUCCUCAUGCCCGUCAGACAGUUUUCACUUGACCUCGACCUCAUUUCAUGGAUCAGUGAACAAGGUUAAGUUUUGGUGGUCAAGUCCAUAUCCCAGAUACUAUAAGCAAUAGGUCUAGUAUAUUCGGUGUAUGGAAGGACUGUAAGGUGUACAUGUCCAACUGGUAGGUGUCAUCUGACCUUGACCUCAUUUUCAUGGUUCAGUGGUUAUAGUUAAGUUUUUGUGUUUUGGUCUGUUUUUCUCAUACUUUAUGCAAUAGAUCUACUAUAUUUGUUGUAUGGAAUGAUUGUAAGAUGUACAUGUCUAGCAG